rnacentral:rRNA from 1 species
GAUGAACGCUGGCGGCGUGCUUAACACAUGCAAGUCGAACGGUGAAGGCGGAGCUUGCUCUGCUGGAUCAGUGGCGAACGGGUGAGUAACACGUGAGCAAUCUGCCCCUGACUCUGGGAUAAGCGCUGGAAACGGCGUCUAAUACUGGAUACGAGCUGCGAAGGCAUCUUCAGCAGCUGGAAAGAAUUUCGGGCAGGGAUGAGCUCGCGGCCUAUCAGCUUGUUGGUGAGGUAAUGGCUCACCAAGGCGUCGACGGGUAGCCGGCCUGAGAGGGUGACCGGCCACACUGGGACUGAGAGAGGGCCCAGACUCCUACGGGAGGCAGCAGGGGGGAAUAUUGCACAAUGGGCGAAAGCCUGAUGAAGCAACGCCGCGGGAGGGACGACGGCCUUCGGGUUGUAAACCUCUUUUAGCAGGGAAGAAGCGAAAGUGACGGUACCUGCAGAAAAAGCGCCGGCUAACUACGUG